CAAUCAUAUCAAAAAUACAAAAUACCUAAUUUGGUCUGGACUCUAUUCAUCCUUGAUGAGUACACAAUACUCUUUCCUCCACCUUCUCCACUUCAUUGUCGAAGAAAAUUCCAGUUGUUUGCCUCCUCCUUUGAAUCAUUUUUGAUCUCGAGUGGUCUUCACUAUUACUUGGUUCAAGGUGAAAACAUUGAAUAUUGAAAAUGAGGUAGAUUCUAAUAUGAAGAAUACUAUCAUAUAUACGUUUCUCACGCUUGGUACUUUUCAAAAGGGACGAGGAUGAGGGCCUAAAUCUUUCAAUGAGAAAGGAAAUUUACUAUCUAAAAGUAUAUUGUCUCAAUCAAGUGAUCUAGUUUAGAAGUACAUCAAAGAAAUUGAAACAAGCUCAACUCAAAGAAAUGGUUAAAGAAGAUCCAUCUCCGUCUACGGUAGAGAUUUUUGAAAAUUUUGUGGACCUGAAACUCGUAGCCAUGUAUUUGGAUUUGGGGGUGGAGUAAAGGCAAAAGAUUUGAAAGGUGGAACUUCAUCAAAGUCUGAAUUGUUGUAUGUACUACGUUCAACUCGAGAGAAUAUCAAAUCCUUGAACGAAGAAAACAACUCCUUAAAUGAUCUCUUUUCUACCAUAGAAGAUGAGAUGAACAAAAUAAUGAAAAUGAAAGAACUCUUCACCGCUCAACAAUCAUAUGUCUCACCUACAACAUCGCCCUCUUCAAAUGAAUAACCGCUGCCUUUUCAACUGACCAAGUUUUUGUCGUUGAAGUGCUUCUAAAGACGACUAUUUGAGGGCGCGAUGCCACUUUCUAGCUAAUGGAGUUGUUUUGAGUUUAAGAAUUCUAUGUUUCUUUCUUUUCCAUUUAGUGUGAAACAUUGUAUAGACCAUGUGAGGCAUUAUUAAUUUGAUGUAUGGGCAACUCCCAUGUUUUUACACUCUUAUUAGAUUAUUAUAA